GAAAUGCGAUACUUGGUGUGAAUUGCAGAAUUCAGUGAAUCAUCGAAUCUUUGAACGCACAUGGCGCCCCCCGGCAUCCCGGGGGGCAUGCCUGUCCGAGCGUCGUUUCAACCCUCGGGCCCGUUUCGUGGCCCGGUGUUGGGGACCUACACCCCACCGUAGGCCCCGAAAUAGAGUGGCGACCACGCCGUGUGCUCCUCUGCGUAGUAGUAAAUCACCUCGCAGGCGGACAGCGGUGCGGCCUGCCGUAAAACCCCCAACUCUUUCUAUGGUUGACCUCAGAUCAGGUAGGAAUACCCGCUGAACUUAA
rnacentral:misc_RNA from 1 species